rnacentral:rRNA from 1 species
AGAACGAACGCUGGCGGCAUGCCUAACACAUGCAAGUCGAACGCUCUUGGGAUUUCGGUCUCAAGGGAGUGGCGCACGGGUGAGUAGCGCGUGGGAACCUGCCCUGUUGUGGGGGAUAACCGAGGGAAACUUCGGCUAAUACCGCAUGCGCCCCCGGGAGUGAUCCUGGGGGGAAAGAUUUAUCGCAGCAGGAGGGGCCCGCGUCGGAUUAGGUAGUUGGUGGGGUAACGGCCCACCAAGCCUGUGAUCCGUAGCUGGUCUGAGAGGAUGAUCAGCCACACUGGGACUGAGACACGGCCCAGACUCCUACGGGAGGCAGCAGUGGGGAAUAUUGGACAAUGGGCGCAAGCCUGAUCCAGCAAUGCCGCGUGAGUGAUGAAUGCCUUAGGGUUGUAAAGCUCUUUCGCCCGCGACGAUGAUGACGGUAGCGGGAGAAGAAGCCCCGGCUAACUUCGUGCCAGCAGCCGCGGU